CAUGGCUUCUGAAGUGACGAGUAACAGUAAUCAUGCCAGGUUAAUCCAAGCUCAGUCCGUUGGUAUGCCCCAUGGCUGGAUUUGCUUGCUUUGCUGUGUACUGGAGGUGCUCAAUGAAAUCCGUCAGUUUGCUCUUGGUCUUGGAGGAUUACGGAAGAGGAUACGUAGAUCCUUCCAAUCCCUAGCAAUGUACUAGAAGUUAUAAAUGGUGGUCAGUAUCAGGUAUCAUUUUUUUCUGAAUCUAGGCAAUCAAAUAUAUCCUCUUGUAUAUAUCCAAUAAAAUUGACAGAGGAAGGCUUAGCUGCUAACCGUUAGGUUAAGUAAGGUUUGUUUCCUAUCUUAUGUGGUUUGUCGAAAAGAAAGGGCUUUCACCACCAUGAGUGUUCCACAAAAAUCAGACUUCAUGCUUGGUAAUACAUGAAGCUGCAGUCUUUAUAGAUAUCCUUUACAGAUCAAGGAUAUACAUUAUCAUCUGCAUUCAUCUGGUGUUUUUUUAUGACAGAUGGUUGUGGCUGAAACCAGACAUCUUCACUGAGAUUUAGAUGGACAGGAUAAGAGUGUCGAGAAAGCAUUGGAAUUCAGAUCAUAAGCCUUUUUCUACAAUAAUGGACUAACAAAAAACAAAGAAAAACAUGGACCUGAAUGUCUAGACAUGAAGUAAUCAAAUAAUUCUAUACCAUGUCUUACUGAUGCAAAUAUGUUGUCUACUAGGUAGUUAUGCAAACAUCUGUUCCACCUAGGUUCUUACUUAUACACACUUGUACUUUCUGUUGUUGUAGUUAAUUAAAAAUGUUUGUUAUUUAAUUUGGUUUCUGAAGAUGCUAUCAUUGUAGUGUUAAUUAGUCUCAAUCUUUUAAUGUAAAAUACUCUUAACUAAUGGUUUGCCAUAUAGCCAUGGAAUGUAUAUAGUUUGGUUCGGGCACCCUGAAAUAAAUUAAAUGUUUCCUUUGUUUGUUUUUUUCUUCCAUAGCAAGGAUUGAAUCAUUAGAACCCAAAAGGGAGUUUCAUGGAAUGUAUAUUCUAUUUGCUGGGCGGGCGGCCUCACUGAAUUGGUUGUCUCUGUUUUUCUGUGCCCUCCUGUGCCAUUGGAUUGGAUGGCGUCAUUGUCGCCGCAGCCACUACAUGUCAGAGCUGUUGCGGGAGCACCAGAAGCUUGUCCUGUUUCACGCAGGUGCUACCAAUCUACAUCAAGCUGUUGGGCCACGAGAUAAUGCGGGUGUCCUCCUUGCUUAAGCAACAUCAUGGUGGGGACCUUCAGAGGUUGCCGUCAGUGGCGAGUCCAAACCAGAUGCAUCAUCAUCUGCCGCCACCAAUGCCUAAUUUCUGUGGAAAUGGUUUUGGCCCGUGGAACCACGGUGCGCAUCUAGAGAUUGUCUUUGAGAAUAAUUUGAUGAACCACCAUGUCGCUCUUCAAUCUGGUUCCAUGGGAAAGUAAAUUACAUCGCUCGAGCGGGUCAACAUAGCCUACAGGAUACAUUUCUAGAGCUGAAAUUUCAGGGCAUCAAGAAGUAAUUAACUAUGCUUCAAGCAAGGAAGUUAUUUGGUAUAACUUUUUUGAGGACUAAUUUACUAGCUUAAUGUUUGGAAGUUAAUGAGCUGCAGAUAUGGCAUGUGCGUACACGAAGACCUGAUGCAUCAAAGCUCGGUGUGGACACCUCUUCUUACAUGACAUGUUUGUCGACAACUUAUCCGAGCUUCAAUUUCCAGAAUAAAACACAUGUUUUUAUUUAUUAUGGUUUCUUCUCUUAGAUGACCAAACAUUUUGCAGAUGUUGAUUUUUCAUUUCCUUCCAACACCAUUAAAUCCCAGUGUUUUCUAAUUUGAAAUGGCUCCCCUCAGUAUCACUCCCCUCAGUUUUUGGAGGAACAUGGUGCUAUUUGGUGUUUUUGGUUGUGGAAAAAAUGUCAUUAGUCAGGCACUUUCUAAGGUGGUCAGCUGACUGC